rnacentral:tRNA from 1 species
UCCCCCGUGGCGCAAUUGGAUAGCGCGUUAGACUGUUAUCAUAAAGUGUGCAAUCUAAAGGUUGGUGGUUCAAACCCACCCGGGGGAG